rnacentral:rRNA from 1 species
AUGGUAGAGGAAAAGAGGGAGAGGGCGGAGGAGGCGUCCGACAGCCCGCAGAAAUCCCCGCGCCUGGACCCGCUGGCUGGUCCUGGCUGCAGCGACGCGCCUGCGUCUCCGACGGAGUCGAGCGACGAGUGGCCAUCGUCCGGGGAAUGGGAGGCGGGGACCAGCAGCGACAGUACCGGCGACAGUAUGGACGACGGCGGGCGGUGCGAGCACAUACGCUUCGACCUGGAUAUGGUGGUACAUGAUCUCAAGGUCGCAAACCAGGUCCUCAAGGAGCCUCGGAAGUGCCAGCGUCGUAAUUGCAAGACGACCUGGGAGGGAGCCAGUGAGGACGACCAAGGGAUGAUGAAGUGCAUAGACUGCGCCUAUUUCUUCUGCUCUGGGUGGCCGGUGGACAGGGAGGAUCCGCAGGGACACGCCCGCUGGCACGCCGGCGAGCACCAGCAUUGGGUUGCUCGGUGGUGCGAUGAACCGAAUUUGGGAUACUGCUUCAUGUGUUCACGCCCUAUGAGGCUCAGUGACUGGAGCGAAGAUGACUAUGCAGUGGCGGCCAGAAAUGAAAAGGAUCAGCAGAUGCCGGGGGAUAGCGUUGCAAAGGAUGGCUGGGGAUCGGUGUCCGGCAUUGCAAAGGAUGAGCGGCAAAGGGUGCCCAGAAUUGCAAUGGACGAUGUUGCGUCUGGGUAUGCUAAUGGCGAUGGCCACGUUAUCAGAGGGAUGCCGAACCAUGGAGAAACAUGCUACAUGAAUGCAACGCUGCAGUGCCUCCUUGCGCUUGGUAAGCUGAGGACAAAGAUUCGAAGUCCAGAUGCUCAUUUGGGGAGCAUUGGUCUGCACCUGCGGGAGUUGUUCGUAGAGACACGCAUUUCGAAUGAUGCCAGAGGCAUGCUGGACCCAUCCAUGAUACUGACAGCUGUGCGUGAGCGUUAUCCGGAUCGGUUCGAGGCCUGGAAGAUGGAAGACAGCCAUGAGUUCCUUCUGUCUUUAUUCAAUAUUGUGGAUGCGGAGGUGGAGGAGGAAAACGGUAGGCAUGUCUUGGAAGGGGGUGAAGUGUUUCCUACAUUUAACGUUUCUCUUUUCGGGGGUCAGCUGUUUGAGACCACAUCCUGCCAAAGGUGCCCGCCUAGUGAUCCUAAAACCGUUGAUUUCAGUGAACUCUAUUUGUCACUUCCAGAGAAGGAUCCUCCAGCCAGAGUCGUUGCAUCACCACCAAGGAACAAAAGCCACGGAUCUCAAACCGACAAGAGUGAUGAAGAUAAUAAGAUUCAAACAAUUGCUGAAGGCAGUACUUCUCCUAUUCCCGGUUCAGGAUUGGGAGAUGGGGCAAUGGAGAAAACCCCCAGGCCUUUGCAAGUUGAUUCUAGUGAAGUGAAGGAUGUUGUACACGGUCAUAUGCAGACUCAGAAGAAUGAUGUCCCACAAGAGAUCAAUGAGGUGCCAAUAGAAAUUUUGGAUUUCAUUCCUGAAUUAUUUGAUGACACUGAAGGAAUGGAGGAAACAACAAUAGAUUCUCGCAAUCCAGAAGAUAAGGAGACGACUUACUCAGUAAAAGUUACUACCAAAGAAAAGGAGGAAGCUCAGAGCAGUGAUAUUGUUCAUGAUGAGGCCGAACAUAUGAACUCUCUUGUGUCGAUUGAGGACUGCCUGGAACUGUUUGCGCGUCGAGUGAAGGAACGUUGUGAGAACUGUUCCAAGGUUGCUGAACAGAUCAUGGCAAGCACCAAUAUAAAUACGACUGUUGAUGGAGAUCAGACUGAGCUGUCAGACAGGAAAACAUGCCCAAGUGAGCGAUCUAGUGACUGUAAUAGCUUGUCCGUAGAAUCUCCAAGGACGAGCUGUGGUGAAAAGGACUCCGCCUCUUGCAGCACAGCCAAUGAAAAAGCUGAAAUUGAUCAAGGUGUACAAGAAGCUGGGCUUCCAGCUGAUAAACAGACUGACCUGCUCGGUGCUCAGGAUAGUCCGGAUACCAGCACUCAAAAUCAGGGUUGUACGAAGCAGGCAAUGCUGGAUGGUCAUAUUGCCCAAGAAAUGGAGGAAAACCAAAAUGAGCAGAAAGAUGGCAACAGUUGUGCAAUUCGAACACAGUUGAUUAACAAGCUACCAGCUGUAUUAAUCAUUCCAUUCAAGAGAUACAGCAAUGAUCUUUCUAAACUGAGAGGGCAUGUGAGCUUUAAGGAGAUUCUUCAUCUUGGACCAUUCAUGGACCCCAGUUCUGAGGACAAAGAUAACUGCAGCUACCGUCUAGUUGGUGUCAUUGAGCACAAAGGGCAUCAAAUGAAUGGAGGGCACUACAUUGCUUAUGUGCGGGGGGCAGGUCACAACCAUCAGAGCAGUGGUUCUUCCUCAUGGGUUCGUGCAAGCGAUCUCGACAUCAAGGAAGUCUCCCUAGAAAAAGUUCUCGGCUGCGAGGCAUACAUGCUUUUCUACGAGAGGAUGGAGGACUGA